rnacentral:tRNA from 1 species
GGGGGCGUAGCUCAGUUGGGAGAGCGACGGCUUUGCAAGCCGUAGGUCGCAGGUUCGAUCCCUGUCGCCUCCAC